CUAACACAUGCAAGUCGAGCGGUAACAUUUCUAGCUUGCUAGAAGAUGACGAGCGGCGGACGGGUGAGUAAUGCUUGGGAACAUGCCUUGAGGUGGGGGACAACAGUUGGAAACGACUGCUAAUACCGCAUAAUGUCUACGGACCAAAGGGGGCUUCGGCUCUCGCCUUUAGAUUGGCCCAAGUGGGAUUAGCUAGUUGGUGAGGUAAUGGCUCACCAAGGCGACGAUCCCUAGCUGGUUUGAGAGGAUGAUCAGCCACACUGGGACUGAGACACGGCCCAGACUCCUACGGGAGGCAGCAGUGGGGAAUAUUGCACAAUGGGCGCAAGCCUGAUGCAGCCAUGCCGCGUGUGUGAAGAAGGCCUUCGGGUUGUAAAGCACUUUCAGUCAGGAGGAAAGGUUAGUAGUUAAUACCUGCUAGCUGUGACGUUACUGACAGAAGAAGCACCGGCUAACUCCGUGCCAGCAGCCGCGGUAAUACGGAGGGUGCGAGCGUUAAUCGGAAUUACUGGGCGUAAAGCGUACGCAGGCGGUUUGUUAAGCGAGAUGUGAAAGCCCCGGGCUCAACCUGGGAACUGCAUUUCGAACUGGCAAACUAGAGUGUGAUAGAGGGUGGUAGAAUUUCAGGUGUAGCGGUGAAAUGCGUAGAU
rnacentral:rRNA from 1 species